GUUAGAUGUUCAAAGGGACCUAUACGCAUUCAUAGCUAUGAUAGCAGAAAAUAUACAUGAUUUAGCAGAGAGUUUCCUACACAGCAGCAUAGCAUCUCAUCCCCUUCUGAUUAUUCACAUGGUCAUCCUUCCAGCAUGAGUGUGACAUAGAGGAGGUCUCACCAGGACACUGUGGCAAAGAGAGGCUAUUUGCCAUGUCCCAGAAAAGGAGACCUCACGUGGGAGAUUUAUGGAAGUUAAGGCUGUGUUCAAACUAUGAGAGCCUAUUUUAACAAGUUAUAAUCUGAAAUGCUCCAAAUUCUUAUGUUUUCUUGCAUUAGGCUUCAAUAGUCUCAUCUCCCGACAUGGUUAUCUUGCCCUGUUGGACUGUCCAGGUAUUAGAAAGGAAAUAAUUCUUUAUCCUUGGCAGAAAAUAACAAACUAUGUUUUAAUGUCAUGUCCACAGAGACAAAAUCUAAGAUGGCAGAAAUUAAGAUUUAUUGGAGACAAAGAAUCAAGGAAGAUAAUGUAUCAGUAGAUCAUGCUCUAGACCAGACAGUUUUGAUGGCCUGGAUUUAUGUUCAAGCAGCUUGCUGAUUCAUGAUCUGCGCUCCCUUGGAGGAUGCAUUUGUGAUUGGACCCAGAUGUUCAUCGCAAGGAACGAACGAUGUAAUCUCUGUGAUAAAAAUGGAGAAAAUGUUGGUAGCUUUGUUGGCUGCAGCUGAAAAGUGAAAGGGUUCUUGCAGCAUGUAUACACCAGGGUGAGUUCUUGGGAGAAAUGACUAAAAGGUGAUGUGGUCUGUCUUGUUUCUUUGUGCUUGUUUCCUAGAGACCUAUUCAGUCCUUUGGGGAAACAUUUGGAUUAGCAAGAAUUUUGCCUCUGGGCUGUUACGAUCCAUGCUACCCUCUGCAUAUGGUGCCACUGAAGUCCUGCAAAAUUCCCAAGGGAUACGAAAUAUCUCCUUUUCAUCCGAUUGAGCUUUUCUAUCCAGAUUUUCAAAUCUUACACCUGGGUAUCAGCAGAGAUGGCUCAAGCAUGCAUCUGAGAAGACGAAGCUACCUGUAUAAUGUCAUGGCCAGAAGACACUUCCAGUGGGACAGUUGUGACUUGUCCAGCAAUCUCCAUACAUGGGGAGUCAAUCCAGAAUCAGAGAUGCAAAGUAUAUGCAGCCUACAGGCCACCAGGAGUGGCUCCAUGCCAGUGUUUAUUUCAGUCCCAUGUAAGCCAUGCCUGGACAUUUCUGUCAAAGUUUCUGAGACUGGAAAGCUUUUUCAUCCAAGCACUAAGUUCACAGACUGUCCUCUUGAUAAAGCUGAUAAUCAUCUGAAGCAAAGGGGCGUCCACCAGAAAACAGCCCAGCUAGCCUGGGGACCUUUGAGACCAACUUAG
rnacentral:lncRNA from 1 species